UACGAAGGGGGCUAGCGUUGCUCGGAAUCACUGGGCGUAAAGGGUGCGUAGGCGGGGCUUUAAGUCAGGGGUGAAAUCCUGGAGCUCAACUCCAGAACCGCCUUUGAUACUGAAGAUCUUGAGUUCGGGAGAGGUGAGUGGAACUGCGAGUGUAGAGGUGAAAUUCGUAGAUAUUCGCAAGAACACCAGUGGCGAAGGCGGCUCACUGGCCCGAUACUGACGCUGAGACGCGAAAGCGUGGGGAGCGAACAGG
rnacentral:rRNA from 1 species